rnacentral:lncRNA from 1 species
GUGGAUCUGCAGGCCUGCGCGGAUCUGCAGGCGGCCGGCCCCGUCUCGUCACGCAGUCGCGCCCUCCGCGUCUCGAGCCGCCCGACCCCUCGGGUGGAUCUGCAGGCCGGCGCGGCGUGGAUCUGCAGGCGGCCAGCCCCGUCCCCUCGCGCGGUCGCGCCCUCCGCGGCUCGGGCCGCCCGACCCCUCGGGUGGAUCUGCAGGUCGGCGCGGCGCGGCGCGGAUCUGCAGGCGGUCGGCCCCGUCCGCUCGCGCGGUCGGCCCCGUCCUCUCGCGCGG